rnacentral:rRNA from 1 species
UACGGGGGGGGCAAGCGUUGUUCGGAAUUACUGGGCGUAAAGGGCGCGUAGGCGGCUCGCUAAGUCGGAUGUGAAAACUCUGGGCUCAACCCAGAGCCUGCAUUCGAAACUGACGAGCUGGAGUUCUGGAGGGGAAAGCGGAAUUCCUGGUGUAGCGGUGAAAUGCGUAGAUAUCAGGAGGAAUACCGGUGGCGAAGGCGGCAUCCUGGACCAUUACUGACGCUGAGGCGCGAAAGCUAGGGGAGCAAACGGG